GUUUUAAUAAUUUAAUAAAAAUGUUGGUCUUGUAAACCAAAAAUAAGAAAUAUCUUUUAAAACU
rnacentral:tRNA from 1 species